rnacentral:rRNA from 1 species
ACUAUAGUUUGGUAUUGGUGAUUGGGACGGUUUGUGUAGGAUAGGUGGGAGACUGUGAAGCAGGCACGCUAGUGUGUGUGGAGUCGUUGUUGAAAUACCACUCUGAUCGUAUUGGACGUCUAACCUCGGCCCAUGAUCUGGGUUAGGGACAGUGCCUGGUGGGUAGUUUAACUGGGGCGGUUGCCUCCUAAAGAGUAACGGAGGCGCUCAAAGGUUUCCUCAGAAUGGUUGGAAAUCAUUCAUAGAGUGUAAAGGCAUAAGGAAGCUUGACUGCGAGACUUACAAGUCGAGCAGGGUCGAAAGACGGACUUAGUGAUCCGGUGGUUCCGCAUGGAAGGGCCAUCGCUCAACGGAUAAAAGCUACCCCGGGGAUAACAGGCUUAUCUCCCCCAAGAGUUCACAUCGACGG